GGAGACAUAGCUCAGCAAAAUAAGAGCACUUGACUAGCAAGCAUGAGCCUGAGUUCAGACCUCAGUAACUCCC
rnacentral:tRNA from 1 species